rnacentral:rRNA from 1 species
AUGUACAACAGCGGCGACGGAGGUGGAGGAUGCAGAUGCAAAGGAAGGGGGAGAAGGGUUGUAGCUCAAGCCGCAGGCCACCACCGCCACCGCACCUCCACCGCCGGAAACCCGACCGCGCAGAUGCAGCUACCGGACAUCGUCAAGGAGACAGGCCUUGGCCUAAUCCUUGGCGCCAUUGGAGGCUCCUCCUACUUCUUCAUCAAUGGCCUCUGCAGCUCCCCCGAAGGCCGCCGGCUUGCCGGCGGCGCCCAGGCAGUCCUUACUAACGCGCCCCGCAUCGGCUAUUGGGUGGCCUUGUUUGGUCUCCAGGCAGCCAUUGACUGCGGCAUGGAGCACGUGAACAAGGAGGACCACCCCGUCAACACCGUCAUCUCCUGGGCCGGCGCCCACGCCGUCGUCUCCAUGCGCCAGGGGCCACGCGCCGCCGCCCUCGCCGGGCUCAAGGGUGCGGCCGUCGGUGGGCUCGCCGAGAUCGCUGCGUACGGCCUUGAUAUUUGA